rnacentral:tRNA from 1 species
AAAAUUGUAGUUAAAAUCAUAACAUUUGUCCUGCAAACAAAAAUUAUAACAAUUUUA